GAUGAACGCUGGCGGCGUGCCUAAUACAUGCAAGUCGAGCGAACAGACGAGGAGCUUGCUCCUCUGACGUUAGCGGCGGACGGGUGAGUAACACGUGGAUAACCUACCUAUAAGACUGGGAUAACUUCGGGAAACCGGAGCUAAUACCGGAUAAUAUAUUGAACCGCAUGGUUCAAUAGUGAAAGACGGUUUUGCUGUCACUUAUAGAUGGAUCCGCGCCGCAUUAGCUAGUUGGUAAGGUAACGACUUACCAAGGCAACGAUGCGUAGCCGACCUGAGAGGGUGAUCGGCCACACUGGAACUGAGACACGGUCCAGACUCCUACGGGAGGCAGCAGUAGGGAAGCUUCCGCAAUGGGCGAAAGCCUGACGGAGCAACGCCGCGUGAGUGAUGAAGGUCUUCGGAUCGUAAAACUCUGUUAUUAGGGAAGAACAAAUGUGUAAGUAACUAUGCACGUCUUGACGGUACCUAAUCAGAAAGCCACGGCUAACUACGUG
rnacentral:rRNA from 1 species